rnacentral:rRNA from 1 species
UACGGAGGGUGCAAGCGUUAUCCGGAUUCACUGGGUUUAAAGGGUGCGUAGGCGGGCAGGUAAGUCCGGGGUGAAAUCUCUGAGCUUAACUCAGAAACUGCCAUGGAUACUAUUUGUCUUGAAUAUUGUGGAGGUAAGCGGAAUAUGUCAUGUAGCGGUGAAAUGCUUAGAUAUGACAUAGAGCACCAAUUGCGAAGGCAGCUUACUACACAGUUAUUGACGCUGAGGCACGAAAGCGUGGGGAUCAAACAGG